UUAAGUUAGAAAGGGCGCACGGUGAAUGCCUUGGCACUAGGAGCCGAUGAAGGACGGGACUAACACCGAUAUGCUUCGGGGAGCUGUAAGUGAGCUUUGAUCCGGAGAUUUCCGAAUGGGGAAACCCACUGUUCGUAAUGGAACAGUAUCUUUAUCUGAAUACAUAGGAUAUUGAAGGCAGACCCGGGGAACUGAAACAUCUAAGUACCCGGAGGAAGAGAAAGCAAAUGCGAUUUCCUGAGUAGCGGCGAGCGAAACGGAAUUAGCCCAAACCAAGAGGCUUGCCUCUUGGGGUUGUAGGACACUCUAUACGGAGUUACAAAGGAACGAAGUAAAUGAAGCGACCUGGAAAGGUCCGUCAAAGAAGGUAACAACCCUGUAGUUGAAACUUCGUUCCCUCUUGAGUGGAUCCUGAGUACGGCGGAACACGUGAAAUUCCGUCGGAAGCUGGGAGGACCAUCUCCCAAGGCUAAAUACUACCUAGUGACCGAUAGUGAACCAGUACCGUGAGGGAAAGGUGAAAAGCACCCCGGAAGGGGAGUGAAAGAGAUCCUGAAACCGUGUGCCUACAAGUAGUCAGAGCCCGUUAAUGGGUGAUGGCGUGCCUUUUGUAGAAUGAACCGGCGAGUUACGAUCCCAUGCAAGGUUAAGCUGAUAAGGCGGAGCCGUAGCGAAAGCGAGUCUGAAUAGGGCGUUUAGUAUGUGGUUGUAGACCCGAAACCAGGUGAUCUACCCAUGUCCAGGGUGAAGUUCAGGUAACACUGAAUGGAGGCCCGAACCCACGCACGUUGAAAAGUGCGGGGAUGAGGUGUGGGUAGCGGAGAAAUUCCAAUCGAACCUGGAGAUAGCUGGUUCUCUCCGAAAUAGCUUUAGGGCUAGCCUCAUGUUGUGAGAGUCUUGGAGGUAGAGCACUGAUUGGACUAGGGGCCCCCAACGGGUUACCGAAUUCAGUCAAACUCCGAAUGCCAAAGACUUAUCCAUGGGAGUCAGACUGCGAGUGAUAAGAUCCGUAGUCAAAAGGGAAACAGCCCAGACCACCAGCUAAGGUCCCCAAGUAUACGUUAAGUGGAAAAGGAUGUGGAGUUGCUUAGACAACCAGGAUGUUGGCUUAGAAGCAGCCACCAUUUAAAGAGUGCGUAAUAGCUCACUGGUCGAGUGACUCUGCGCCGAAAAUGUACCGGGGCUAAACGUAUCACCGAAGCUGUGGAUUGACAUCUUUGAUGUCAGUGGUAGGAGAGCGUUCUAAGUGCUGUGAAGUCAGACCGUAAGGACUGGUGGAGCGCUUAGAAGUGAGAAUGCCGGUAUGAGUAGCGAAAGACAAGUGAGAAUCUUGUCCACCGAAUGCCUAAGGUUUCCUGAGGAAGGCUCGUCCGCUCAGGGUUAGUCGGGACCUAAGCCGAGGCUGAAAAGCGUAGGCGAUGGCCAACAGGUUGAUAUUCCUGUACCACCUCCCCGCCGUUUGAGUAAUGGGGGGACGCAGUAGGAUAGGGUAAGCGCGCUGCUGGAUAUGCGCGUUCAAGCAGUUAGGCUGAUGAGUAGGCAAAUCCGCUCAUCAUAAAGGCUGAGCUGUGAUGACGAGGGAAUUAUAGUACCGAAGUUCCUGAUUCCACACUGCCAAGAAAAGCCUCUAGCGAGGCGGGAGGUGCCCGUACCGCAAACCGACACAGGUAGGCGAGGAGAGAAUCCUAAGGUGAUCGAGAGAACUCUCGUUAAGGAACUCGGCAAAAUGACCCCGUAACUUCGGGAGAAGGGGUGCUCUGGUAGGGUGUAUAGCCCGAGAGAGCCGCAGUGAAUAGGCCCAGGCGACUGUUUAGCAAAAACACAGGUCUCUGCGAAGCCGCAAGGCGAAGUAUAGGGGCUGACGCCUGCCCGGUGCUGGAAGGUUAAGAGGAGGGGUUAUCCUUUGGGAGAAGCUCUGAAUCGAAGCCCCAGUAAACGGCGGCCGUAACUAUAACGGUCCUAAGGUAGCGAAAUUCCUUGUCGGGUAAGUUCCGACCCGCACGAAAGGCGUAACGAUCUGGGCACUGUCUCAACGAGAGACUCGGUGAAAUUAUAGUACCUGUGAAGAUGCAGGUUACCCGCGACAGGACGGAAAGACCCCGUGGAGCUUUACUGUAGCCUGAUAUUGAAUUUUGGUACAGCUUGUACAGGAUAGGUAGGAGCCUGAGAAGCCGGAGCGCUAGCUUCGGUGGAGGCGUCGGUGGGAUACUACCCUGGCUGUAUUGAAAUUCUAACCCGCGGCCCUGAUCGGGCCGGGAGACAGUGUCAGGUGGGCAGUUUGACUGGGGCGGUCGCCUCCUAAAAUGUAACGGAGGCGCCCAAAGGUUCCCUCAGAAUGGUUGGAAAUCAUUCGUAGAGUGUAAAGGCACAAGGGAGCUUGACUGCGAGACCUACAAGUCGAGCAGGGACGAAAGUCGGGCUUAGUGAUCCGGUGGUUCCGCAUGGAAGGGCCAUCGCUCAACGGAUAAAAGCUACCCCGGGGAUAACAGGCUUAUCUCCCCCAAGAGUCCACAUCGACGGGGAGGUUUGGCACCUCGAUGUCGGCUCAUCGCAUCCUGGGGCUGUAGUCGGUCCCAAGGGUUGGGCUGUUCGCCCAUUAAAGCGGUACGCGAGCUGGGUUCAGAACGUCGUGAGACAGUUCGGUCCCUAUCCGUCGUGGGCGUAGGAAAUUUGAGAGGAGCUGUCCUUAGUACGAGAGGACCGGGAUGGACACACCGCUGGUGUACCAGUUGUCUUGCCAAAGGCAUCGCUGGGUAGCUAUGUGUGGACGGGAUAAGUGCUGAAAGCAUCUAAGCAUGAAGCCCCCCUCAAGAUGAGAUUUCCCAUAGCGCAAGCUAGUAAGAUCCCUGAAAGAUGAUCAGGUUGAUAGGUCAGAGGUGGAAGCGUGGCGACAUGUGUAGCUGACUGAUACUAAUCGAUCGAGGACUUAACCAA
rnacentral:rRNA from 1 species